rnacentral:rRNA from 1 species
UACAGAGGUCUCAAGCGUUGUUCGGAAUUACUGGGCGUAAAGGGUGCGCAGGCCGCGCGGGCAGUCAAAUGUGUAAUUCAGGGGCUCAACCCCUGCACUGCGCUUGAUACUUCCGCGCUCGAACCUUGGAGAGGAGUCUGGAAUUCUCGGUGUAGCAGUGAAAUGCGUGGAUAUCGAGAAGGACACUUAGGGCGAAAGCAAGACUCUGGACAAGUGUUGACGCUCAUGCACGAAGGCUAGGGUAGCGAACGGG